GAGACCCUGAGAUGUACGUUUUAUCCUUUACGUUUUGAGCCAACACCUUUUUAACGGGAGUUCGGGUCAUCUGUCUGGAGUUGAAGCCAUUCUUGGAAUCGCGGACAGCAGAUGUAGGACACCCACCUGCUUGAGAGCAGGUUCAAAACGAAGGAGUCCACGGCAUUCCCGGGGGCUCU
rnacentral:other from 1 species